rnacentral:rRNA from 1 species
UACGGGGGGGGCAAGCGUUGUUCGGAAUUACUGGGCGUAAAGGGAUCGGAGGCGGCCAACUAAGUCAGACGUGAAGUCCCUCAGCUUAACUGGGGAACUGCGUCUGAUACUGGAUGGCUUGGAUUCGGGAGAGGAAUGCGGAAUUCCAGGUGUAGCGGUGAAAUGCGUAGAUAUCUGGAGGAACACCGGUGGCGAAGGCGGCAUUCUGGACCGACAUUGACGCUGAGGAGCGAAAGCCAGGGGAGCAAACGGG